GCCCAGACUCCUACGGGAGGCAGCAGUGGGGACUAUUGCACAAUGGGGGAAACCCUGAUGCAGCGACGCCGCGUGAGUGAAGAAGUAUUUCGGUAUGUAAAGCUCUAUCAGCAGGGAAGAAAAUGACGGUACCUGACCAAGAAGCCCCGGCUAACUACGUGCCAGCAGCCGCGGCAAUACGUAGGGGGCGAGCGUUAUCCGGAUUCACUGGGUGUAAAGGGAGCGUAGACGGCCAAGCAAGCCAGGGGUGAAAGCCCGGGGCCCAACCCCGGGACUGCCCUUGGAACUGCACGGCUGGAGUGCGGGAGGGGCAGGCGGAAUUCCUGGUGUAGCGGUGAAAUGCGUAGAUAUCAGGAGGAACACCGGCGGCGAAGGCGGCCUGCUGGACCGCGACUGACGUUGAGGCUCGAAAGCGUGGGGAGCGAGCAGGAUUAGAUACCCGAGUA
rnacentral:rRNA from 1 species